rnacentral:rRNA from 1 species
UACGUAGGGUGCGAGCGUUGUCCGGAAUUAUUGGGCGUAAAGAGCUUGUAGGCGGUCUGUCGCGUCUGCUGUGAAAAUCCGGGGCUCAACCCCGGACUUGCAGUGGGUACGGGCAGACUAGAGUGUGGUAGGGGAGACUGGAAUUCCAGGUGUAGCGGUGAAAUGCGCAGAUAUCAGGAGGAACACCGGUGGCGAAGGCGGGUCUCUGGGCCGAUAUUGACGCUGAGGAGCGAAAGCGUGGGGAGCAAACAGG